AGUCUAGUUACUAGGCAGUGUAGUUAGCUGAUUGCUAGCAGUACCAAUCACUAACCACACGGCCAGGUAAAAAGAUU
rnacentral:miRNA from 1 species